ACUCUGGCAAUGCUAGAGCACUAAGCAGAGAAGAGGCAGUGUUGGCUCUGGUUAGCCAGGGCAUACAGGCUCUCCUCGUCCUGUCCUCCGCAGUGGCCACAGGCACCCAGCUGUUCCACUCUCUCUGAAGGCCGCCAGGCAGUCUCUCCGCAAAACCUCCAUAGAGACUAUCUUCAGUUUCAGGUCCUCUCCUCCGGGCUGGGUCCCAGGAAGACACCUUGGGCUGAGUUCAGGGUGACAUUGGGCUCCGGCUGCAGGAAACGGGCCCUCCUUGCCAAGAGACCACCUUUCAGUCUCUGCUUCACAGGUUUGCCUUCAACUUUGCCAGCGAGUUCCCCUCUGACAUGCACCACCUUGAAACACCUUCUUCAAGGGGCAUGGAGAAUGGGGCAGCUUGGGUCCCCAAUCCUGAGCUCCUUCUCCAGCCUCCGGCCGUCACGCCUCCCUCCCUCUCCCCUAAUUCCCAGUCAAGCCAAGGAAAGGCUGCACAGAAGGCCAGAGAAUCACAAAGGGGAGUAGGGGUCAUUUUUUCACCCAUCUCGGAUCACAGGGAGAAGCAAGUUGGGCAAAUGACUGGAGAAAAAACAAAGGCAAGCCGAGUGCUGGGGAGAGAUGUUCCCCUGAAGUGAGACGGGGCUGGACCGUAGGAGAAAGGGGAGAGGGAGGGCUGGCGGGGGCAACUGACAGCUGACAGCAGAGGCGCCGAGGCGGAGGCUGGAGGAACCAGCUUGGACACCAGCCCUGAAGCAGGGAAAAGACAGAUGUACUAAUUGUCAUGGAUGGCAAACUGUGCCCCCAAACUUGUACCAAGCCUCAAAGCCUUGGUUUAAUACUCCUGAAGGAGUAAUAGACCCAAUGUGACAUUUUGCAUGCAGGAACCCCUUAACAGCUACCUCCAUAUUAUGCGUGCUUCAUGAAUGGAGACACCUACGUUAUAUGAAGUUCUCUAUUGGGCUGUAAACUUCCUGAGACAGGCCUUCUGGGAAAUUACUCUCUACAUCCCAGGACUGCAAUGUCCAGUGCAGACCCGUGCAUUUAGAUGUUUCCAAAAUAGCAGUUGUUUCCGCGGCAUUAUGUUCUGCUGGCCUAGAGGUCUUAGUUCCAGAGGGAGGAAUGCUGCCACCAAGAGACACAACAAUGAUUCCAUUAAACUGGAAGUUAAGAUUGCCACCUGGCCACUUUGGGCUCUUCUUACUUUUAAGCCAACUUGCUAAGAAGGGAGUUACAGUGUUUGACCCAGACU
rnacentral:lncRNA from 1 species